rnacentral:rRNA from 1 species
AGAGUUUGAUCAUGGCUCAGGACGAACGCUGGCGGCACGCUUAACACAUGCAAGUCGAACGAGAGAAGAGGAGCUUGCUUUUCUGAUCUAGUGGCGGACGGGUGAGUAACACGUGAGCAAUCUGCCUUUCAGAGGGGGAUACCGAUUGGAAACGAUCGUUAAUACCGCAUAACAUAAUUGAACCGCAUGAUUUGAUUAUCAAAGAUUUAUCGCUGAAAGAUGAGCUCGCGUCUGAUUAGCUAGUUGGUAAGGUAACGGCUUACCAAGGCGACGAUCAGUAGCCGGACUGAGAGGUUGAUCGGCCACAUUGGGACUGAGACACGGCCCAGACUCCUACGGGAGGCAGCAGUGGGGAAUAUUGCACAAUGGAGGAAACUCUGAUGCAGCGAUGCCGCGUGAGGGAAGAAGGUUUUAGGAUUGUAAACCUCUGUCUUCAGGGACGAAAAAAGACGGUACCUGAGGAGGAAGCUCCGGCUAACUACGUGCCAGCAGCCGCGGUAAUACGUAGGGAGCGAGCGUUGUCCGGAAUUACUGGGUGUAAAGGGAGCGUAGGCGGGAUCGCAAGUCAGAUGUGAAAACUAUGGGCUUAACCCAUAAACUGCAUUUGAAACUGUGGUUCUUGAGUGAAGUAGAGGUAAGCGGAAUUCCUAGUGUAGCGGUGAAAUGCGUAGAUAUUAGGAGGAACAUCAGUGGCGAAGGCGGCUUACUGGGCUUUAACUGACGCUGAGGCUCGAAAGCGUGGGGAGCAAACAGGAUUAGAUACCCUGGUAGUCCACGCCGUAAACGAUGAUUACUAGGUGUGGGGGGACUGACCCCUUCCGUGCCGCAGCAAACGCAAUAAGUAAUCCACCUGGGGAGUACGACCGCAAGGUUGAAACUCAAAGGAAUUGACGGGGGCCCGCACAAGCAGUGGAGUAUGUGGAUUAAUUCGAAGCAACGCGAAGAACCUUACCAGGUCUUGACAUCGUAUGCAUAGCUCAGAGAUGAGUGAAAUCUCUUCGGAGACAUAUAGACAGGUGGUGCAUGGUUGUCGUCAGCUCGUGUCGUGAGAUGUUGGGUUAAGUCCCGCAACGAGCGCAACCCUUACUGUUAGUUGCUACGCAAGAGCACUCUAGCAGGACUGCCGUUGACAAAACGGAGGAAGGUGGGGAUGACGUCAAAUCAUCAUGCCCCUUAUGACCUGGGCCUCACACGUACUACAAUGGCUGUCAACAGAGGGAAGCAAAGCCGCGAGGUGGAGCGAACCCCUAAAAGCAGUCUUAGUUCGGAUUGUAGGCUGCAACCCGCCUACAUGAAGUCGGAAUUGCUAGUAAUCGCAGAUCAGCAUGCUGCGGUGAAUACGUUCCCGGGCCUUGUACACACCGCCCGUCACGCCAUGGGAGUCGGUAACACCCGAAGCCUGUAGUCUAACCGCAAGGAGGACGCAGUUGAAGGUGGGAUUGAUGACUGGGGUGAAGUCGUAACAAGGUA